rnacentral:rRNA from 1 species
CAGAGGUCUCAAGCGUUGUUCGGAUUCAUUGGGCGUAAAGGGUGCGUAGGCGGCGGGGCAAGUCUGGUGUGAAAUCCCGGGGCUCAACCUCGGAACUGCACUGGAUACUGCCUUGCUAGAGAUCUGGAGAGGAAACUGGAAUUUACGGUGUAGCAGUGAAAUGCGUAGAGAUCGUAAGGAAGACCAGUGGCGAAGGCGAGUUUCUGGACAGAUUCUGACGCUGAGGCACGAAGGCCAGGGGAGCAAACGGGAUUAGAUACCCCGGUAGUCCUGGCAGUAAACGGUGCGCGUUUGGUGUGGGAGGAUUCGACCCCUUCCGUGCCGGAGCUAACGCGUUAAACGCGCCGCCUGGGGAGUACGGUCGCAAGAUUA